GUCUCAGUUCGGAUUGAAGGCUGAAAUUCGCCUUCAUGAAGCCGGAAUUGCUAGUAAUGGCAGGUCAGAAUACUGCCGUGAAUACGUUCCCGGGCCUUGUACACACCGCCCGUCACACCAUGGGAGUCGGUAACACCCGAAGUCGGUAGCCUAACCGUAAGGAGGGCGCCGCCGAAGGUGGGAUUGAUGACUGGGGUGAAGUCGUAACAAGGUAUC
rnacentral:rRNA from 1 species